GAUGAACGCUGGCGGCGUGCCUAAUACAUGCAAGUCGAGCGAACAGACGAGGAGCUUGCUCCUCUGACGUUAGCGGCGGACGGGUGAGUAACACGUGGAUAACCUACCUAUAAGACUGGGAUAACUUCGGGAAACCGGAGCUAAUACCAGAUAACAUGUUGAACCGCAUGGUUCAACAGUGAAAGACGGUCUUGCUGUCACUUAUAGAUGGAUCCGCGCCGCAUUAGCUAGUUGGUAAGGUAACGGCUUACCAAGGCAACGAUGCGUAGCCGACCUGAGAGGGUGAUCAGCCACACUGGAACUGAGACACGGUCCAGACUCCUACGGGAGGCAGCAGUAGGGAAUCUUCCGCAAUGGGCGAAAGCCUGACGGAGCAACGCCGCGUGAGUGAUGAAGGUCUUCGGAUCGUAAAACUCUGUUAUUAGGGAAGAACAAAUGUGUAAGUAACUAUGCACGUCUUGACGGCACCUAAUCAGAAAGCCACGGCUAACUACGUG
rnacentral:rRNA from 1 species